rnacentral:rRNA from 1 species
AUACGGGGGGUGCAAGCGUUAAUCGGAAUUACUGGGCGUCAAGCGCGCGUAGGCGGCUUAUUAAGUCAGAUGUGAAAUCCCCGGGCUCAACCUGGGAACUGCAUCUGAUACUGGUAAGCGAGAGUUUUGGAGAGGGAAGUAGAAUUUCAGGUGUAGCGGUGAAAUGCAUAGAGAUCUGAAGGAAUACCAGUGGCGAAGGCGACUUCCUGGCCAAAAACUGACGCUGAGGUGCGAAAGCGUGGGUAGCAAACGGGAUUAGAAACCCCGGUAGUCC